CUCUGUGGCUGCAGAGAGGAGAUUGAAUUUUAUUGGUAAAUGUUAAGAGUCAUGAACCAAAAAAUGACAAAGCCAUAAGGGAAAUAUAGAGUGCCCAAGCGAGGGACUAACAUAGAAGGGAUGGGGGUGAGGAGAGGAGCACAACUAGGUUACAGAAAAUACAG